AACUUGAAUGUCUUACCAAUCAUUUUAUUUUGACUACAUUGUAAUACACUUGAAAUCACUUUGCAAAAUCAAGUGAAUACCAGCAUGUUAGAAACUAAUUAUUUUACAUGUUGGUCAAGGGUUCAUUGAUGCUCCAACUAUAUUAUACCCAUUGUUCAGGGUUCAGCGAAAAUCAACUAUUGUAUGCUAAUUACUUGUCUAUCACUUCUUUCUCCUUCAUUUCCUCUCUUUCCCUUAACUAGUUUCUUAAUCGAGGGUUUUAUUGGUUUUCCGAGGUAACUAAGAAUGGUAAAAGGAUGGUUGAAACGUUCCCUAUAUAGCCUUUUUUUCUGAAAAAAAAUGUAUAGCUAGCAUCAAGGGGUGUGCCUUCUCGGCCCUCCUCUUUCAAAGAAAAAUUACAACUAGUUAAUUUUGGUGACAUGCCCAUCCAAUAAAAACUAAUUGCUAAAUGUCAAUGUUUUGAAGCUUGUUUGUUGAUUCUUAAGGCAUGAGGUGGCAACGCAAUACAUAAAAACAAGGUGUGAGCACGAGGUGGCUGUUCAGUGAAUGAAAAUAUAAGGUGCAGGCAUGAGGUGGCGAUUCAAUGGAUGAGUAUAACCUGAAAAAUCUGAGAUGGCACUUGGUAAGUAUGAGGUCGGAAGAACAAGGUGGUACUUAAAUGGAUAAGUUUGAGGUGGCACUUCAAUAGAAAAGUCUAAGCUGGGGAAACACGAGGUAUCCUAUUGCUAAAGUAUUUGAUACGAGGUUUCCUAUUUCUUAAGAUUUUGCAACCUAGUCGUUCAACUUUUCUUAUAUUUUUAGUCCCUGGUGUCCUAUAUAUUCCUUAAAAAGCCUGCACAGAUAAUUUAUUUCCAAGUGGACUUCACAUAUACGCAUUGAUAUCCAAUAGAAUAGUCCAUAUAUACAUUCAAGGUGUUGGGGGUAUUAUUAAUCAUUGUUGCUGAUUUAUGUCAGUCCGCAUAUAUCCUCACCAUAUCCUCACAUAUAACACUCACCAGUUAACUGGGUGGGGCUACAUAUAUCCUUGAGGUCCACAUAUAAUACUUAACCAAGGGUCCACAUAUAUCCACUUCAAUAAACUGAAUCAGGUCAUAUAUAACACCUAGCCAAAGAUCCGCAUAUAUCCUUACUGGUGAUUCAAACGAGGCAAAGCACACCACCUAGCUGGAAAUCCUCACAUAAUUUUUAGAAUGCCUUUUUAACAAAAAAUUCACAAAAGACAUUAAAGAAGCUCCAACAGAAAUUCACCAACAUAGAAAAAGGUUCUCAUAUGUGCAUUAUUUGAAAAGUAAGCACAUGGGUAAUGGUCCA
rnacentral:lncRNA from 1 species